rnacentral:lncRNA from 1 species
GAGGGGCUGGUUUUCAGUACUAUUGUACAGUAAAAAAUAUUUUUGUCUUGGUUUGCGCUCACCACCUCCUUUCACUAUCUUUUUUUUCCUUUCCUAUGUUUCUGACACUAAUGUAGUUUUAAUUUAAGAUGAUGAAUGAUCCAAAAGAUACAACAUGAAUCACUAGAGGAAUAUAGACGACAGACUCUGCUUAGUUUAAUUCUUUGUUUAAACUUAAUUUUAUUGGUUUACCAUUGUCAAUUAUGAAUGUUAUUAUAAUAUGUCUACAGUCUUGCUCUGGGGAGGAGAAAGUUACUUCCAGAAGGAUAAAAACAAUAGUUGCAUACAGUACAUACAAGGAACAUUAAAGGUGGUAAGGAAACAAGUAUCUAAGAUAAACUCUUGGCUCCAUUAGGGGGACAUGAAUUCCAGCAAGCGAAUUGGCUCACGGAAAUAAGAAAAUGCAUGAAAAUAUCACAGAAUCCAUAGUUUACAUGACAUAAAAGGGGCCAAACACACAGGCAGCCUGUAGGUUGGCAUGGGCUUCAUGUACUUUUCCAUGCUUGAGGAAAAGUAAUAAUCUCUUUCUGCCAAGUCGGUCUCAGUGUUAGUACCAAGGAGAGUCUUCCCAUGUUUGUGGAGAUUGUUCAGGUCUGGCUCAUAUGCUGAAAGGGAUGUACUGGAACCUUUACAAAUAUGAAAGCCAAAAAAAAUCGGCAGAAAAUGCUGAAAUGUUUGUAUGAGAAUUUAGCCUGCUUAGGGAAGAAGCCUGGGCAAUUAUGCCAAGGAGGACAACAAAAUAUUGCACUACAGUGAUGCAGCAAUUUGCAGAUUAUUUGGGAAAAUAUCCUUCAAUAAAAUGUCUACUUGGGUGUAAUGGGCAAUGGAGACAAAUUUCGAUAUCCUUUACUGAAUCAAAUGUGAGGUUAACUGAGGAGAAAAUCAAUCCUUUUUUUAAAAAAGUAUGGUUAUAUGUGACCUGGUCAAAACUUGAUUCAGCUACACAAAAUUAUCUGUUGUGUUUUAUAAGACACUCACUUGGAAUUAGGUGAGUAAUAUCUGGUUUACAAAUAUGUAGGUUAAAGUCACUUAAAAAGAAACGCUUCCAAAAUAUGUAGCUGUGCUAGAACAUCUAUUUCUUUUAUAUAGAGAAAAUGAAGGGCCAAUGAGAAGAAAUCUGUACCCUAGAAUGCAUUUUCCUGUUCUUCCUAUAUUAUUUCUAGUUCUAGAAACAGUUCUAAUAACAAAGUGUAAAAUUAAAAUGCAAUGCAGUGCAGUUCUUAAGACUAUGGGCGUUUGAGUCAAAUAGAGCUAAAUACAAAUUCUAUUUUUGUCAUUUACCGAUUGAAUGAACCUAGGAAAGCUAUUGAACUAGCCAACCCUCGCAUUUCCAUUACGAUAAUGGGAAUAAUACAAACUUUAUAGUUUCAAGAGGAUAAAAUGAGAGAAUAUAUGUUAAAAUAACAAAGUGACUGGCAUUUAAUAAAUUCUGAAAGAUUAUUUCACUUACCUGAGUAUUCAGAAAUAUUUAUUGAACAUUUGUGAUAUGCUAGACAAUGGUUCUAGGGAUAUAACAGUCUUUGAUAUCAGGAAGUCUGAUGAAAAGAAAAUUAAUAAACACUGAAACAAAUAAUAUGUCAGAAGUGUGGUCUGGGAUAAAAAAUGCAGAGUGCUAAAUGAUAGUGAUUUAUGGGCUGGAGAAAUUAUUUUUUUAUUUUUAUUUUCAAUUUUCAUUUAUUCACUUUUUACAGUGGUUAUUUUAUGACUGGUUUAUUUCAUUUAGCAUAAAGUUUUCAAGGUUCAUCCCUGUUGUAGUAUAUGCCAGAAUUUUGUUCUUUUGUUUUUCAGCUUUACUGAAGUACUAUUAAAAAAUAAAAAUGGUAUAAACAGGUAUUCAAGGCAUACAGAUUGAUAUUUUGAUAUGAAAAUAUAUUGUGAAAUGAUUACCACAAUCAAGGUAAUUAACCUAUUCAUCACCUCAAAUACUUACCUUUCCAUUUUUUUUUUUUUUUUUUUUUUUUUUUUUUUGUGGUGAGAAUACUUAAGUUCUACUCUCUUGGCAAGUUUCAAGUAUGCAAUACAUUGUUAUUACCCGUAGUAACUAUGAGGUAAAGUAUACAUCAUAUAAAAAUUAUUCAUCUUGCAACUGCAAAUUUGUACCCUCUGACCAACCUCUCCCAUCUCACCCAUCUCCUGACCUCUGGUAACCACACUCUCUUUCUAUGAGUUCCAUUUUUUAGACUCUGCAUGUAGGUGAGAUCAUGCAGUAUUUUUCUAUUUCUGGCUUAUGUCACUGAGCAUAAUAUCUUCCAGUUUCAUCCAUAUUGUUGCAAUGGCAGGAUUUCCUUCUUUUUUAGAGUCUGAAAUAUUCCUCUGUGUGUGUGUGUGUAUCAAGUUCUUUCUCCAUUCAUCCAUUGAUUUGAUGGACAUUUAGAUUGUUUCUAUACUUAACUAUUGUGAAUAAUGCUGAAAUGAAUGUGGGGCUGCAGGUAUGUCUUCACAUUAGUUAUUUUAUUUCUAUUGGAUAUAUAGCCAGAAGUAGCUUGUUGAAUCAUAUGAUAAUUCUCUUUUUAAUUUUUUGAUAAAUCUCCAUACUGCCUUCCACUAUGGCUGCACCAAUUUACAUUCCCACCAGCAAUGUACAUGACUUUCCUGUUCUCUAAAUCCUCACCAACAUUUACUGUCUUUUGAAUUUUUUUAAUAAUAAGCAUCCUAAAAGCUGUGAAGUGAUAGUUCUUUGAGUUCUGAUUUGCAUUUCCAUAAUGAUUAGUGAUGUUGAACACCUUUUCAUGUACCUAUUGACUAUUUAUAUGUCUUCUUUGGAAAAAUAUCUAUUUAGGACCCAUGCUCCAUUUUAUAUUGUGUUAUUAUUAUUAUUUGCUAUUAAGUUAUAUAAGUUUCUUAUAUAUUUUGGAUAUUAAUCCUUUGCCUUAUUGAAUUUUCUAUUGCUUAUAAUAGAAUAUCUGAAACUGAGUAAUUUAUUUUAAAAAAUAAAUAUAUUUCUUACAGUUACAGAGAUGAAGAAGUUCAAGGCCAAGGGGCUGCAUCUGGCGAGAACCUUCUUGCUGGCAAGGACUCUCUGGAGUGCCAGGGUCAUGAAGGGCAUCAUGUGGAGAAGGCACAGAGCAUGCUAGCCCAGGUCUCUCUUCCUCUUCUAUUUUUUAAUUUUUUUUAAAUUUUUUUAAUGUUUUGAGGCAGGAUCUUGCUGUUUCACUCAGGCUGGGGUGUAGUGGUGCAAUCACAGAUCACUGAAGCCUUGACCUCCCAGGUUAAAGUGAUCCUUCUGCCUCAGCCUUCUGAGUAGUUGGGACUACAGGUGCACACUACCAUGCCUGGCUAAUCUUUGUGUUUUUGUAGAGAUGGGGUUUUUGCCAUGUUUCCCAGGCUGAUUUCAAACACCUGAGCUCAAGCAAUGCGCCUGCUUUGGCCUCUCAAAGUGCUGGGCUUACAGGUGUGAGCCGCCAUGCCUGGCCUAUUUUAUCUUCUUAUAAACCAAUCAGUCUCACUCUCAUGAAAAUCCAUUAAUCCAUUAACUGAAUAAUCUAUGAAUGAAUUAACUCAGUCAUGAGGGCAGAUCCUUCACGGUCCAUUCACCUCUUAAAGGCCCUACUUCUCAAUACUGCAAAAUUAGAGAUUAAAUUUCAACAUGAAUUUUGGAGGAAACAAAUAUUCAAACAAUAGCAUUUUGCACCUAGCCACAUAAAACUCAUGUCCUUCUCACAUACAGUUACACCCAUUCCAUCUCCAUAGUCCCAGAGUCUUAACUUGCAUCAGCACCAGUUCAAAAGUCCAAAGUCCAGAGUUUUAUCUGUGAGCCUGCAAAAUCAAUACAAGUUAUCUACUUCCAUGAUGAGAUGGUGGUACAGGAACAAGAUAUUCUUAUUCCAAAAGGGAAAAAUAAGUAAAACAGAAGGAAUAACAGACCUCUAGUAAGUCUAAAACCCAGAGACAUUAAAUCUUAAAAAAGCAAAUAAUCUCUUUUAACUCCAUGUGCUACCUCUUGGGCACAUUGAGAUAACAGUUGGGUCUUUAAGGCCUCAGGCAGCUCUGUCCCCAUGUCUUUGCUGGCUGUAGCCCACAUGGCUACUUGUACAGGUUAGGGUUGGAUACCUGAAGCUUUCUCAGGCAAGCAUUCCAUGCUGCUGGUGACUCCACAGUUCUGGAGUCUCCCUGGUCAUAUAGCUGCCAUGGCUCCACAGGCAUUGUCCUGGUAGGGACUCUACAACAGCCUCAACUCCACAUUUUUUCUGCUCAGCACUGCCCUAGAAGGGGCUAUUUGUGGUGACUCUGCUCUAGGACAAUGGUCCCUAGGCUUUUGAUGACAUCUUUUGAAAUUUGGGUGGAGGCUGUGAAGCCUCCACAGCUCUUGCUUUCUGCAAGCCUUUAGAAUUGGCACCAUGUGGAUGUUGCUAAUACAACUUGUACCUUAUGGAGUUGCAAGAACCACAGCUGGGGCCACUGGAGCCAGGGCUGGAGUGGACAUGGAGUGGUGCACUAGGGUGCAAUAAGUGGGGUGCACUAAGCAGAGUCCAAGGUGGCCCUGGGUAAUGAACCCCUAGAGAGCAUCCAGGGCCUUCCCCAUAAAACCAUUUGGCCUCCAAGAUCUCUGGGAUUGUGCUGGGAAGGGCAGCCUUGAAAAUCUCUAAAAUGCUUUUGGGACUCUUUCUACCACUGUCAAGGAAUAGCAGCUGACUCCCUUCUAUCUAUGCUAAUCUCUUUAGCAAAUUGUCUUUGGGCUACACCCAGGACAAAGUAUGUUUUACUGAACACACGUUUUCACUCUUUCUAUGGUGGAGCUGAGAAUUUUCCAAAUCUUUCUGCCCUGCUUCUCUUUUAAUUUUAAUUUCUGUCUUUAAAUUAUUCCUUUUCUCCAGAAUCUCAGCAUAAGUUGCCAAAAGUAACCCUGCAAAUUCUUCCAUAUUUUGCAUAGAAAUUUCUUCUGCCAGAUAUCCUAGUUCAUCACUCUCAAGUUUAAUCUUUCACAAAGCCCUCAGGCAUGGACAUAAUUCAGCCAAAUUCUUUGCCAAUUUAUGACAAGAACGGCUUUUUCUUUUUUCAGUUCCCAAUACCUUGUUCAUCAGUUCCAACUGAAAUUGCAGCAGAAUAGCCUUUAAUCUGCAUAUGCUUAUCAGCAUCCUGGUCACAACAACUUAAUCAAUCUCUAAUGAGUUCCACACCUUCCCUAGUCAUCUUGUCUUCUAAGCCCUCACAAGAAUCUAGGCUUUUUAUAGUCUGCCCCCCUAACUUCUUCCAGCCUCUCCCCAUUACCCAGUUCCAAAGCCACUUCUGCAUUUUCUGGUAUUUAUUAUCAGCAAUAUGCCAUUUUUUGGUACCAAUUUUCUGUCUUAAUCCAUUUUCUGUUACUUAUAAAAAAAAUACCUGAAAGUAGCUAUCUUACAAAGAGAAAAAGUAUAUUUCUUUCAUUUAUGGAGGCUGAGAAUACCAAGAUCAAAGAAUGACAGGUUAGAUCUCACUAAGGCAGGCCUCCAUAACUACUGUUUCAGUACUGACUGAGUGGUUAAGUUAAAUAUUAAAAGCUAAAAAAAGCCAGUGCCUUUAUUCAAAGACUGGAAGGUAACAAAAGGCCACCAAGAGUUUCUCCCUAGGCCUUUCCUGGGCCUUAAAGCAUGAUAAAAUAAUGGAGGGAUUCUUAAUAAGACCCAUUUAAGAUUAAACAAGUUUUAUUCGGAGGUCUGAAGAAACUCCCCAGGCCUCCACAAACAAGUUUAUUGGGGGUCUGAAGGAACUCUCCAAACCUCCCUGAUUUAGCAGAAGAUAAGAUAAGGGUAAUCACCCGAGCACCUGGACCAAUUUAGAUUAAGUAAAUUUACUGAGGCUCCAGAAGAAGGUCUUUAGGACUCAGACCUUAAUUAUAGAUUAAAAGAAGUUAAUCACUUAUGUCUUUAGAUGAAUGCACACUUACAUGUAAACAUAUAGCUUAGAAGGUAUAUAAACUCUGGAAAACUGUAAUUUUGAGUUGGUCUGGCAGUAAUUUCCAGGCCUUCUCCCUGUAACCAGUUGCAGAAAUAAAAACUCUCUUCCUACCCAGUUCAUUUGCAUCUUGUUAUUGGGCACGAGAAAUAGCAGCCCAAUCCUCAGUUUGGUCAGGAACAAAAGGGCUUCAUCUUUUGAGGGCCUUUGUGCUGGCAGGACUCUCCAUGGAGUCCUGAGGCAGUUCAGAAUGCAAAUGCAAUAGAUUCAUUGCCAGAUGUGCACAGCAAGUCAAUAUGCCAAGACACCAAUUUGCAGCAGGGAAAAAGUAUUAAUCAUGGGGCUGCUGAAUGAGCAGAUGAGAGAAACUUCAAAUUUUGGAGGGGGCCAAAGUGUAGAGAUUAUCAGUUGGUCAAUGAGUGCAGGGUGAAGUUAUGGGCUAUGCAUGCUAGCUUGGGUCUUUCUUCCUUUUCUUUAAAACCACUAGUUCUACUUCAGUGAUAACCCAUUAAUCAUUAACUCAGUAAUCCAUUAAUCUGUAAAUGGGUCCCAGUCACCUCUUAAAGGCCCCACUUCUCACUACUGCCACAUUGGAAAUUAAAUUUCAAAACAUGAGUUUUGAAGGGGACAGAUACUCAAAGGAUAGCAUCAUUAUUUGAUAUAUGGUUUGCAACUAUUUUUUUCCCAUUAUAUAGGUCACCUUUAUAUUUUGUUGAUUAUUUUGUUUGCUGUAAAGAGACUUAAUUUUGAUGUAGUCCCACUCGUUUUGUUUGUUUGCUUGCCUUUUAUGCAUGCGCUUUCAAUAUCAUAUCCAAAAAUCAUUGCCAAGACCAAGACCCUUGUAAAGGAGAUUCUCCAUGAUUUAUUCUAGGAGUUUUGUAAUUUUAGAUCUUACAUUUAAAUUAUUAAUGCAUUUUAAGUCGAAUAUUGUAUAAGGUGAAAGCUAAAAAUCCAACCUCAUUUUGUCACCAGUCAAUAUACAGUUUUCCCAAUUUGAUAUACAGUUUUCCCAACACCAUUUAUUCUGUGUAUUCUUGGCACCUUUGUCAAAGAUUUGAUCAUGUAUAUGUGGGUUUACUUCUGGGCUUUUUACUCUGUUCCAUUGGGAUGUGUUUUUUUAUGCUAAUACCAAAUUAUUUUGACUAGGGCUUUGUAAUAUUAAUUUAGAAUCAGGAAAUAUGAUGGAUCCAUCUUUGAUUUUCCUACUCAAGCUUACUUUAGCUAUUCAGGGUGUUUUGUGGUUCCAUAUGGAUUUUAUAAUUGAUUUUUCUAUUACUGUAAAAAUGUCAUUGGAAUAUUUUCUUUUUUUUUGUGAUGGAGUCUCGCUCUGUUGCCCAGGCUGGAGUGCAGUGGCAUGAUCUCGGCUCACUGCAAACUCCGCCUCCUGGGUUCAUGCCAUUCUCCUGCCUUAGCCUCCCGAGUAGCUGGGACUACAGGCUCCCACCACCAUGCCCGGCUAAUUUUUUUUAUUUUUGGUAGAGACAGGUUUCAUGCGCGUUUGUGUGAAGAGACCACCAAACAGGGUUUGUGUGAGCAACAUGGCUGUUUAUUUCACCUGGGUGCAGGCGGGCUGAGUCUGAAAAGAGAGUCAGCGAAGGGAGAUAGGGGUGGGGCCGUUUUUUAGGAUUUGGGAAGGUAAUGGAAAAUUACAGUCAAAGGGGGUUGUUCUCUGGUGGGCAGGGUUGGGGGUCACAAGGUGCUCAGUGGGGGAGCUUCUGAGCCAGGAGAAGGAAAUUCACAGGGUUAAUCACUCAGUUAAGGUGGGGCAGGAACAAAUCACAAUGGUGGAAUGUCAUCAGUUAAGGCGGGGCAGGGCCUUUUCACUUCUUUUGUGAUUCUUCAGUUACUUCAGGCCAUCUGGGCAUAUAUGUGCAAGUCACAGGAGAUGCGAUGGCUUGGCUUGGGCUCAGAGGCCUGACAAUCCUGCCUUCUUAUAUUAAUAAGAAAAAUAAAACAGUGUUGAAGUCUUGGGGUGGUGAAAAUUUUGGGGGGGUGAUAUGGAGAGAGAAUGGACGAUGUUUCUCAGGGCUGCUUCAAGCGGGAUUAGGGGCGGCGUGGGAACCUAGAGUGGGAGAGAUUAAGCUGAAGGAAGAUUUUGUGGUAAGGGGUGAUAUUGUGGGGUUGUUAGAAGAAACAUUUGUCAUUUAGAAUGAUUGGUGAUGGCCUGGAUACGGUUUUGUAUGAAUUGAAAAACUAAAUGGAAUAAGAGAAGGAGAAAAACAGGUAUAAAAGGUCUAAGAAUUGGGAGGACCUAGGACAUCUGAUUAGAGAGUGCCUAAGGAGAUUCAGCAUAGUCCUGCCAGCCAAGAUUAUUUAUUUACUUCAAGAGUUAAGAGUGGCGGUUUGGGGAUAGCACGAGGAGAUAUCAGCUGUGAUGGCUUGGAGAAACAGUGUAAACCGGCAGUGUAAACAAGAGCAGGGCAUGUAUGAGUAGUUGAGAACGGAGAAUAGGAGUAUGACUAGACAGAAGAUAGUAGGGAUGACAAGUUUUUUUUGGGGCACACUCUAAGUUGGUCCGGUGUUUGGAAUGAGACUGGGGCCUAAUAAAAAGGAGCAUCUAUACAGGAGCCCAAAUGGGCUGUACCUUGUAGCAUUCUGAGGACGGGUCUGACUUCUGAGAAGGGAAAGUGGUAAAAGUAUUGUCCAGUUCUUUUUAAGUUGGUGGCUGAGCUUGGUGAGGUGUGUUUUUGAAAGACCUUUAGUCCGUUCUACUUUUCUUGAAGACAGACGACUAUAAGGGAUAUAAAGGUUUCACUGAAUACUAAGAGCCUGAAAAACUGCUUGGCUGAUUUGACUAAUAAAGGUUGGUCUGUUAUCAGACUGUAUAGAGGUGGGAAGGCUAAACUGAGGGAUUAUGUCUGACAGAAGGGAAGAAAUGACUGCAGUGGCCUUCUCAGACCCUGUAGGAAAGGCCUCUACCUAUCUAGUGAAAGUGUCUACUUAGACUAAGAGGUAUUUUAGUUUUUGUGACUCAGGGCAUGUUGAGUAAAGCUAAUUUGCCAGUUCCGGGGGCGGGGGCAGGGGGCAAAUCCUCAAGUUUGAUGUGUAGGGAAGGGAGGGGUCCUGAAUAAUCCUUGAGGAGUAGUAGAAUAGCAGAUAGAAUAGCAGAUGGAACACUGAGAAAUUAUUUCCUUGAGGAUAGAUUUCUACAAUGGAAAGGAAAUGAGAGGUUCUAAGAGGCGGGCUAGUGGCUUGUACUAUAGCAUAGCCUGCCUUUGCUGGUGUGUGGCGAUUAGGCCUGGUGGAACUGCCAUCAAUAAAUCAAGCGUGAUCAGGGUGAGGAACAGGAAAGAAGGAAAUAUGGGGAAAUGUGGUGAAUGUCAGGUGGAUCAGAGACAUACAGUCAUGGGGGUCAGGUGUGGUAUCAGGAAUAAUGUGGGAGGCCAGAUUGAAGUCUGGGCCAGGAACAAUGGUAAUUGUGGGACUUAACAAAGAGUGAGUACAGCUGAAGGAGCCGGGGAGCAGAAAGUAUAUGCAUCAGGUAUGAGGAAGAAAAUAGAUUUUGGAAGUUAUGAGAAAUGUAGAGAGUAAGUUGAGCAUAGUUUAUGAUUUUUAGGGCCUCUAAAAGUAUUAGGGUGGCAGCAGCCGCUGCACGGAGACAUGAGGGCUAGGCUAAAACAGUAAGGUCAAGUUGUUUGGACAGAAAGGCUACAGGGUGCGGUCCUGGCUCUUGUGUAAGAAUUCUGACCACACUAACCAUGCCUAGGAAGGAAAGGAGUUGUUGUUUUGUAAGGGAUUGAGGUUGGGGAGAUUAAUUGGACACGAUCAGCAGGGAGAGCACCUGUGUUUUUAUGAGAAUUAUGCUGAGAUAGGUAACAGAUGAGGGUGAAAUUUGGGCUUGACUGAAGUAAUGGGGGCUGUCUGUGAAGCCUUGCGGCAGUACAGCCCAGGUAAUUUGCUGAGCCUAAUGGGUGUUAGGGUCAGUCCAGCUGAAAGCGAAGAGAGGCUGGGAUGAUGGGUGCAAAGGAAUAGUAAAGAAAACAUGUUUGAGAUCCAGAACAGAAUAAUGGAUUGUGGAGGGAGGUAUUGAGGAUAGGAGAGUAUAUGGGUUUGGCACCAUAGGGUGGAUAGGCAAAACAAUUUGGUUGAUAAGGCAUAGAUCCCGAACUAACUUGGAAGGCUUGUCUGGUUUUAGGACAGGUAUAAUGGGGGAAUUGUAAGGAGAGUUUAUAGGCUUUAAAAGGCCAUGCUGUAGCACGCAAGUGAUAACAGGCUUUAAUCCUUUCAAAGCAUGGUGUGGGAUGAGAUAUUGGCAUUGAGCGGGGUAAGGGUGAUUAGGUUUUAAUGAGAUAGUAAGGGGUGCAUGAUCAGUUACCAAGGAGGGAGUAGAGGUAUCUUAUUCCUGUGGGUUAAGGUGGGGGAAUACAAGAGGAGGACGCAAAGGAGGCUUUGGAUUGGGAAGAAGGGCAGCAAUGAGAUGUAGCUGUAAUCCAGGACUAGUCAGGGAAGCAGAUAAUUUAGUUAAAGUGUCUCGGCCUAAUAAGGGAACUGAGCAGGUGGGGAUAACUAAAAGAGUGCUUAGAAGAGUAUUGUCUCAGUUGGCACCAGAGUUGGGGAGUUUUAAGAGGUUUAGAAGCCUGGCCGUCAAUACCUACAACAGUUACGGAGGCAAGGGAAACAGGCCCUUGAAAAGAAGGUAAUGUGGAGUGGGUAGGCUCCAUAUUGAUUAAGGGGACGGACUUACCUUCCACUGUGAGAGUUACUCGAAGCUCAGCGUCUGUGAUGAUCUAUGGGGCUUUCGAGGUGAUCGGGCAGCGUCAGUCUUCAGCUGCUAAGCCGAGAAGGAGUCAGAGAGCCUUGGGCCAGAAUUCCAGGGGCUCUGGGAGUGCCUGCCAGGUGAGUUGAACAGUCCGAUUUCCAGUGGGGUCCCGCACAGAUGGACACGGCUUAGGAGGAAUCCUGGGCUGCAGGCAUUCCUUGGCCUGGUGGUCAGAUUUCUGGCACUUGUAGCAAGCUCCUGUGGGAGGAGGUUCUGGAGGAACUCCUGGCUGCUGUGGUUCAGGCGUUUGGAAGUUCUUGUGUGCUGGAGAUGUGGCUGGGGUUUGUCUCACAGUGGAGGCAAGGAAUUGCAACUUUUUUUUUAUUAUUGUACGCCUUGAAGGCUGGAGGGCAAUGGCGUGGUUUUGCUCACUGCAACCUCCGCCUUCCAGGUUCAAGGAUUCUUCUGCAUCAGCCUUGCAAUUAGCUAGGAAUACAGAAAGUGAUGGCCCAAUUAUUGAAAAAUUUGAGUUUCAUUUCAUUGUGAUUGGAAGAGACACACUCCAUCCACUCUCUAUGAAAAGCAUCCGUGUACCUUCUUCCUCUUGGUCACUAGACAAGAGCCUGGAACUCACUGAACUGUGGGAGUGAAAGAGCUGUAACUCUCCUGCUCUCUGAUCUAUGGACAGGGGGACUAAAAGAGCUAUAACACUCCUGCCUUGCAAACUACAGUAGUAAAAAAGAAACACAAAAGUACCAUCAAAAGUUUCUGGUGAAAAUUGAAUUACCAAAAACAUUGAAAGUGCUUAAAACAGUACCUGCAACAUAGUAAGAGCUCAACAAACGUUAUUCAUUUAUGUUCAUAAUUUGGAUUGAUAAAUUACCCUACUGAAAAAUAAAUACUUUCAGAUUGAAUUUAAAAGCAAUAAUAAAAUCUCUUGAUGCUUAAAAGAGAUGAACAAGACAGCAAAUAAACUUCAAUGCUGAAAAUAAGAACAAUAUACAAAUUUUUAUCAAGGAAAUCUCAGGGACCCUGUAAACAGUCGUUCUGUUCAUAUUUGUUGUUGUUUCUUUAGAGGAGGGCAUCUAGGCAAUAAGAAAACUGGAAUGUGAAAUCUAUCUACUUUUCUGUUUCCAAAGCUCAGAAUUAUGUUAAUUUUACUGAACCAACUAACAGGAGGGGUGACUUUUUGUCAUUUAUAGAAAAGCAUUAUAGAUAAUAUUCAGGGGAUUCACUAAAAUAACAAGACACUCUGUGCAAUUGCCUAUUGGUAUUUGAGUUCCAGUGUAAAACCUAAAAUAAUUUGUUUAAAGUUAAAACAGUAUAACAACAUGACUUUAAAAGUUAUUACUUCACAUUCCAAGAUCAGAGAUCCUACCAUCUCUGGGGCCUGCCAAAAGUCGAUGAUACAGUCAUUUCAGCAGAAUCAUUCACUUGAUUACAUAAAGGGAAGAUUGGGAAAGAAAAGAUGGUGACUUUUGAGGAGAGUGCAGAGUGCCUAAAGGAAGAUCAUUGUGCUUCUCUAUCUGCUGUGAUAAAGGGGAGAGAGGGACACUUCUCUCUAGCAAAAGAUCUGCUUCUUCUGGACUUUGGACACAAGCUUAGGAAAGAAUUGGCAGAGCUGAUAGAGAGUGUCAUUAGCAGAAGCAUGCAUUUCCACCAUGUGGUUUGAAAAGUACCUAUGAAAUUUGCUGGGUUUGAUGGACGCCACUGAGGGGAACCUGACUUGAAGCAUCUUACUACUGCCCCUCCUGGAACCACUCUGUGCAUAGGAAUACUCAACUGAUGACAAUGAGUGAUUUAUGACACAACUGAAAAGAGAAGGAAGAAGCCGAGCCUAUGCUGGGAAUUCUAUGCCCAGAGUCUGCAUAGUGUACAGCUUUAUAAAACCCCUAAAUGUGUCUGACACAGAGUUUUCAUUUGGACUUGCAGCCUUAGGAAGGAGCAACAGCCUGCAGAAAUUCUUGUGAUAUUUUCAACGUACUUUAAGUGAGACACUGAAAAUUUGCUACUCUCCCAAUAAUAUUACGAAUUAUGAAGUCAUGACUCAUCUUUUCCAUUAUAUAGCUUUAUGAAAUUCACUUAAAGAUGAUUAUUUAAAAGCGUGUUUAGUAGGUAAGAAUAUACUAAGAAGAUAUUAUUAAAUGGUUUAAUUAUAUCAUGAAUCCUUUUAUAGUUUAGGAAUGUUAUUUUUAAUUAGCAAUUCUAGACAUGACUGGAUGGUGAGAACCAAGAUCAUAAUGCCAGCUGUGUUUGGCUAGCAUUAGAUGUGAUCUUCUGUUGAUCUUGGUUUGAGCCUUAAUCUUAUCCUCCUUUGUUGCUAUUGGAUGGUAAAAGCACCAUAAUGUUGAUCGUGCCAAAAAGGAAUAUUUAAACACUAACACUGCUCAAAGGUCUGAGAACUUAAGCUAACAAAAUUAUGGUUCUUUUUUUCCUCUCUUUCUGGCAUUUGGUUAAAUAGCUUCUAAUUACCCAAUUUGGGAGAAGUUCUGAAACCAUGUCCCAAAGAGUUAAAGCAACCAGUGACUAACAGAAAUUCUUGAGUUUGCAGAAUGGUGGAUAAGAAAGGAAACAACUUGCUAAAACACUGAAACUCCCUCCACUUAUGAGAUAAAAGAACUGGCUGAAAUCAGUUUGGUCAACUGGAGUUUGUGCGGAAGUAGCUUGCUGACAUCAUAGCCUGAAUUUUCAUUGCAUGUCUCAUACCAACUCCCUCCAGAAUCUGCACAUGCAAAUGAGUUAGCAUAAAAAAGGUAACUGUGCAUGCCCAAGGACUUUCCAGACCUCUCCUUUCCUUCCACCAAUAAAACCUGAUAAUCUCAGAAUCCAACCCCUGAAUCUUUUCUAAUGAAAAUAUAGUCUUGAAGCCAGCACAGGGAGACAGCUUGGAGCUUGACUCCUGUCUCCUCGGGAGUGGACUUUCAAUAUAAAGCUUUUCUGUCCUCAAAAACCUGGUAUAGUAUUGGCUUCUAGCGUAUUCAGCAGCAAGCCCCUUUUGCUUGAUAAAGUUCCAGGAUCCUUCCUGCCAGAGGUUUUGCAUGUCCCUCUUUUUCCAUUGCUUCUCUUGGCCCCUAACAUCUGUUCAUCUCAUUAACUCUUACUCUGUUUUUCAAUUCAAAAACAAUAAUAGCUUUAAAGAAACAUUCCUAACCUUCUCAAAUGCAUUCGUUUUUCUAAUGUAUACUUUAAUAGAACAAUGUACUUCUUCCUCUCAUCUCUCUCACAACAUAAAUUUACCCUAGUGUGAUUUGGUGAUAAAUAUCUGUCACUAUACUAGAUUGUAUAUUCAAGUCAUGUGGAGAAUGUGUCUGUUUUCGUUCAUGAUGGUGUCUACAUUAAAUAAUCCAAUGUGACAAGAAAUAUUUGUUCAAUGAAUGAGCUCCCUGAUGAAUGGAUAAAAUGAUGCUCUGAUAUGUAUGAAUGUUGAUAUUAGACACACUUAUCAAUUAUAUGUACUGUAAAUAGCAUGUAGUAGCAUUUCAAUGAGUAUUUGCUGAUUGACAGAUUUGACUAUCAAUCCCUGCUCUGAUUUCCUUUUGGGAUUUGAUUAUAUUCUUUGUACCCCUUCCAGCUUUAUUAAAGUAUAAUUGACAAAUAAGAU